rnacentral:lncRNA from 1 species
UGUGAUUUUGCAUAAACAUUAGGCCCAACAAAUUAAAUUAUUGUGGGGCAACUUUUCAUAAACCUUUGGCCCAAGUACACUGAAGCCCAAACUUACUUGCAAUCUACUACAGAGGUACACCAAGCUAGAAAAGUACAAAUUAUAUUAGACAAAAACAGCUGACAAUGCUUCUUCUUCCAAACACGCACCAUCAUUGUCCUGUCUCCAUCAAAAUUAAUUGUCAACACGUUGGACCAAAGUUAUGCUACGAACCGACGAGCUAGGCCAAGAAUCGGCAAUCACUGUGGUGUUGCGGGCUAUCGCUAGUGCCGAGAGCCACUCAACGACCUUUGCCGGGUAUGGUGAAAAUGUGAGGCUGCCUCUGGUGGCUUUUGUUGCUUUUGACAAAAUGAAGAUUCCAUUAUAUCUAGUUAACAUCCAACAGCUUCUUUAUAGCAAAAUACAUAAAUUGAAAGCCACUUGCAAUUCUUUAUAUGAGAAUCAUCCAAUGACGAACUCGUCGACUACAUUUUGUUGUGGAAGCUUCAACUAUGGAAGCCGAAAUUCACAAAACAUACCAGUUAUCUCUUUGAUAACAACAGAGGCUUUAAUAAAUCGUGGCUAGAGGCAGAAUUUUGGCUUGGUAAUCUCAUCAAAUAGCUAGGGUGCAAACUUGCAACCGUGAUACUAUAUGCAAUCUGUAAUCCAUUUCUUGAACCCAAAAAAUUUCACAGCAAUGCUUGCACAAAUUUCAAUAUAUUCAACCAAGCAUCGGUCCCUUUCGUAGUAUCUCAACAACCGUGACUGGAGGUAGAUAAGUGUUGAGGUUGUCUCAAAUAGUUUGUAGUUGGGAGCAACCCUUAGUUGCGGCUAGUUAUGUGGUUGGCAGGGAUAGCUGCGUUGCCGAUUGCAGAAGCUAUAGCGGCCUCGUUGGAUAAUAAGGCGGUCUCGAUGGUAGCAGAGACUAGUGGCUUGGCCAAGGUUUUAGUAGAACAACUAAUGAUGCUCAAGUGGGUUUCCGUGGUUGCUUGGGGUUUUUGAUAAAUACUUGCCUUCUUCCCGGCCAUUUCUUCAUUGAUUUAAUCACCAGAAUACACUCUUCUUAUCAGAUGUCUUCAUGUUGUUCGAAUCCCAUUUUUCUUAUUCCACCCACUACAAUAGCAAAGUUUUUCCUCUUUGUACCGAGUAGCUCCUCUUUUCCAAAUCUACUUUCAAUCGUCAUUUUCAUGGCUAAAAAUCACCAUUCUUCAAAGAACUUUCGCAGAUCUAGCUCCUUGUUUUCCAGUAUCAUCUUUUAUUUUAUUUUAUUUUUUUGAAGUUUUUCUAUCGAACUUUCCCCACACGAUUUCUUCAUGGUUAACCGUACCAUAUUCCCACACACGGCCCUAAUCUGUUGAUAUCAGAAAGUGCGCCAACAGAAUCUCAAUCUCAUCCCCUCCUCGUAGACAUCGCCUAUAUUAGAAGACAAAGGUCUCAAUUGAGAAAAAGGUCCAACGACCGUUUACACACCGACGAUCAAGUUAACGGUUGAGCGAGAGAAAUAUGAGUGCAAGAGAGAGGGAGAAGG